GCCACCGUGGCUCAGUGGUAGAGCACAUCCUUGGUAAGGAUGGGGUCGUGAGUUCGAUUCUCAUCGGUGGCACCA
rnacentral:tRNA from 1 species